UGGUUUCCUGCUUCAACAGUGCUUCAAUGGAACCG
rfam:Equus caballus chromosome 24, whole genome shotgun sequence.